UACGUAGGGUGCGAGCGUUGUCCGGAAUUAUUGGGCGUAAAGAGCUCGUAGGCGGUGUGUCACGUCGGCCGUGAAAACCUGCAGCUUAACUGUGGGCGUGCGGUCGAUACGGGCAUCACUGGAGUUCGGCAGGGGAGACUGGAAUUCCUGGUGUAGCGGUGAAAUGCGCAGAUAUCAGGAGGAACACCGGUGGCGAAGGCGGGGUCUCUGGGCCGAUACUGACGCUGAGGAGCGAAAAGCGUGGGGGAGCAAACAAG
rnacentral:rRNA from 1 species